UACGGAGGGUGCAAGCGUUAUCCGGAUUCACUGGAUUUAAAGGGUGUGUAGGCGGGUAUUUAAGUCAGUGGUGAAAUCUCCGAGCUCAACUCGGAAACUGCCAUUGAUACUAUUUAUCUUGAAUAUUGUUGAGGUAGGCGGAAGAUGUCAUGUAGCGGUGAAAUGCUUAGAUAUGACAUAGAACACCGAUUGCGAAGGCAGCUUGCUAAACAAUUAUUGACGCUGAGGCACGAAAGCGUGGGGAUCAAACAGG
rnacentral:rRNA from 1 species